UCCUCUCCAUUCUUAGGUGUGCCUGUUAUUUAGAAUGAAGAGCCAUUGUCCUUUAAAUUUCCUUGUGGGCAUUUAUACACUUUGUAAGGAUGCACGUUAUACAGCUAGCUGAUCACCAAGAGGCAGUGAGGAGAAGAGUGCUUCAGGAUUCUUAUUUUCUCACAGGAGGAAUUAGGGCACUUAAAAUAAUAUUUCUAACCAAAGAACCAGCAUCCUACUCAGAAUCAGUUUCAUACCUAUUUCCAUCACUGUUUGGAGUUCCUGCUCUCUGAGGACACAAAACUACUCAAGACCAGGGCACAGAUCCAAGCACAGAUGGAGAGCAGCACAGAUUGCUGAGCCAUUCCAGUCUGAAGGAGGAUGGAUAAAGCUUGGGUAGAAAAUAUGCAAUUUUGCUGCUGUUAUAAAAGCUGCAGGUGGGAGGAUCUUUCUCUUGGAUACGGAGAAGUUGCUUGAUGAGAUUUGGAUUCUUUUUCUUCAACUGAAACUACUUCUUUGUAUGAGACACUGAGAUACUUUCAUGAAAUGGUGAUAUGUGAAGACUGGAAGAAGCACAGAGGAUGUUAAGUAUUGUUAUAUUUAAAUAAAGCAACUCAGAAAAAAAAAUGUAUUUGCAUGAAUGUAAAACUAUUCAGCCUCUCUCUUCAUCCCACAUCCAAAGUAAGAAAAUUCAAAUUCUAAC